rnacentral:rRNA from 1 species
AUUGAACGCUGGCGGCAGGCCUAACACAUGCAAGUCGAGCGAGCGGCGGACGGGUGAGUAAUGUCUGGGAAACUGCCUGAUGGAGGGGGAUAACUACUGGAAACGGUAGCUAAUACCGCAUACCAUCAGAUGUGCCCAGAUGGGAUUAGCUAGUGGGUGGGGUAACGGCUCACCUAGGCGACGAUCCCUAGCUGGUCUGAGAGGUUGACCAGCCACACUGGAACUGAGAACCGGUCCAGACUCCGACGGGAGGCAGCAUUGGGGAAUAUUGCACAAUGGGCGCAAGCCUGAUGCAGCCAUGCCGCUUGGAGGAAGAAGGCCUUCGGGUUGUAAAGUACUUUCAGCGGGGAGGCGUUACCCGCAGAAGAAGCACCGGCUAACUCCGUGCCAGCAGCCGCGGUAAUAC